rnacentral:tRNA from 1 species
GGAGGGAUCGCAUAGUGGCCUAGUGCGCAGUCCUGGAAAGACUGUAUGGGGGUGACCUCAUCGCGGGUUCAAAUCCCGCUCCCUCCG